rnacentral:tmRNA from 1 species
GGGUCCGUAACGGUUUCGACAGGUUGGCGAAAGCUACUCUGUGAUUCAGGUCGAGAGUGAGUCGUCUCUCGAAAAUCAAAGGCUCAAAAAGAUAAAUGCAAACAACAUUGUAUCUUUUAAGCGUGUAGCAGUAGCUGCGUAAAAACCUCUUACAGGUACGCUUGUCUGUAGUCCGACUCCGUUAAAGGCUACAGACCAACCCCAACGGAUGCUCUAGCAGGAUUUCUCUGGUUGACUGCUAGCUAAGAUUUAAUCAGAGCAUCCUACCGUUCGGGAUAAAGAACGUUCCCCGCCUUGAGGGUAAGAAAGGCUAUACCUGUGAACGAGCGGGGGGUCAAUACCCAGUCUGGACAGCAGUUCGACUCUGCUCGGAUCCACUA